CGACGCCCCCUUAUGCUCCCAUGAGCGCCGUCCAUGUAAUGGCGGCUCUGGCGGAGGCAACGACGCCUAGCACAGGAGCCAAUUGAAUCGGAACAUCACUAGUCAACAACCAUCUUCAGGCUCGGCUGAAGGCAAUCAGGGAUGGCUUUUACAAGGUACAUGCCUAAUGCUGGGACUAUACGCUGAGGAAGGCUAUCUGCGACAAACUUCAAGAGGAGAAUGACCAGAUCAUGUGUUGGUGCGUCACAGAGCUAAGUGGUGCAUUAAAGAAACUUUUCUUUCUGUUUGCUCACCUGGUGAUGAGGUAAAGUUAUGAUCUAUUUAUACCGCAAUUUUCAGGAGAAGUAUGUUUUGUACUUGCUUACGUUGAUUUGAUAUAUCCAUGAAAGUAGCAGCACCAAAUGCUUGACUUUUUGUUUUGAAUUGCAAAUAUUUAAAGCUUAAUCUGGAGCAAACAAGCCUCGUAGUUAUAGCAUCUUAUUAUUCUUAGCACUGCAAUGGCCUCUAGAAUCUGGCGCUGCUAAGUUCAUUCAUGGAAGCUAAUUAAUCGGACGAGGUGUAGAUAGAUUCUUUCCUGAAUGUGUGCGCAAUGCACCUAACUGCACAUCCAUGCUGGUUAUGCUCGUCCAGAUUCUGCUUCUCAACUUAAUUGAUCAUGUAUGCAAUGUUUGUUCCCACUUGCAUGGAGCAAGAAAAGGAUCAGCCACCGGGUAUCGAUACAACACGUAUAUAUACUCGAUCAAUUGUCUCCAAUUUAUCAUGAUAGUUAGGUUGGUUUCAGCAUAGACUAGUUUGUUUUUGUCAAAGUAAUCAAGUUUCUUUGUAGAUUUUAUUUAAGUUCAUUUUUACAUAUAAUUAAGUUUUCUUGCCACUUAAAUUGCUUCAACCAUUUUAGCUAAGCUAGUUACAUAGCCGUUAGGAUAUGUUCUUUGCAGACUAGUUAUAUAAUUAAGAUACUGUAUGUCAUCGUAGUUAAAUUGAUUUCAAUAUAGAUAAUUUGUUUUUUCAGCAUAGACAAGUUGUUUUUGUCUACAUAACAAAGUGCCUUUUUGGAGUGUGUUUCUAGGAUUAUUUUGGUAUAGAAAUGAAUUGUUUUGUCUCCAUAGCUAAAUUAGUACUAACUAAGUUUAUUUACAUAGUUUUGGGGGGUUUCAGUGUUACAAGCUUAGUUUUUGUGGUCUGAGGCAUAAUUAAGGUUUUGUUUUUGUUAUCGUAGUUAAGUUAUUUUUAGCAUACAAUUAAAUUGUUUUGCAGCUAAUACGUGUUGUCUUUAUCUACAAAAUCGUGUAUUUUGCAUUCAUCUUUACAUACAACUAAGUUGUUUUGUUUCCAUAGGUAAACUGAUGACACCAUCUUAAAUAAGUUGGUUUCAUAGCUUGUCUUUAAGGGUUAGUUUUAGACCCUGAUUUUUCGUGGGGUGUGGGGGCCUAAUAUAAGGUGAUGUUGAUUGUCAUAUUUAAUUAAGUUAUUUUUUAGGUUACAGUUAAGUUCGUUUUGCACAUAAUUAAAUUGUUUUAUCAACAUGCCUAAGUUGUUACCGUUAUUUAACUAAGUUGUAUUUUUUACCUAACCAAGUUGUACAAGCAAUGUCCGAAGUUGCAUAGUGAUUUAAUUAGGUUUCUCUUAUCAAUAUGCUUUAGUUGUUUCCAUCAUCUAACUAAGUUGUA